UGCUGCCGGCGGCUGCCUGGCAGCUGGGACAGGGAGAGCCUGUGACGGGCAGGAUGGGAACCCUCUGUGGUGACAGACCCUCUGCCUGAGGCAGAUCUGUGGGCAUGGAGCAGCCAUACGGCGUUACCACUCUGCCCAUCACCAGUUGCCACUUCCAGCUGCCUUUGGAUGGGGAAUACCAUCAUACUGCACAAUGCCUCUUGUAUCUAACCUCAUUAAAGGAACUCAUCUAACUCAUCUGUACUGAGGAAACUCUCACCUCCCCCAAAGGCAAUGACUCAAGAUACUAAUCAGUGCAGUGAGGAUGUCUGAGGGUUUUUUCAUCCACCACUUUAGCCUGGGCUAUGCUUUUCCUUCCUCCGCUACUGCAGCCACAAAGGUUGUUCUUGAUUUGCAAAGGAAGGCAACCAGCCACUACUUGAGCUGACUGCCUCAGAGUUUGAGCAGAAGGAGGCACCAUGUCUAAAGAAGACUCUUAAAGAAAAUACGGCUGCUGUAUUUGGCCCAGAAACAUCCUCAUAGCUGCUGAUCAUCUCUGUCUCUUAAAGUGAUGAGAAAAGAUCAUCCUCAGAAGUCAGAAGUAUGCCUUACUAAGGCCAAGCAACAAAACACCAGCUUAAG